AUUGAACGCUGGCGGCAGGCCUAACACAUGCAAGUCGAGCGGAUGAAGGGAGCUUGCUCCUGGAUUCAGCGGCGGACGGGUGAGUAAUGCCUAGGAAUCUGCCUGGUAGUGGGGGAUAACGUCCGGAAACGGGCGCUAAUACCGCAUACGUCCUGAGGGAGAAAGUGGGGGAUCUUCGGACCUCACGCUAUCAGAUGAGCCUAGGUCGGAUUAGCUAGUUGGUGGGGUAAAGGCCUACCAAGGCGACGAUCCGUAACUGGUCUGAGAGGAUGAUCAGUCACACUGGAACUGAGAAACGGUCCCGACUCCUGCGGGAGGCAGCAGUGGGGAAUAUUGGACAAUGGGCGAAAGCCUGAUCCAGCCAUGCCGCGUGUGUGAAGAAGGUCUUCGGAUUGUAAAGCACUUUAAGUUGGGAGGAAGGGCAGUAAGUUAAUACCUUGCUGUUUUGACGUUACCAACAGAAUAAGCACCGGCUAACUUCGUG
rnacentral:rRNA from 1 species